GUGGAUGUUGUUUAUUCCUCUGGUCCACAUGGAUUCAGGUGAAGGUUGAAGCACAGCAGGAGAGAGAGAGGUCGCUGUGGAGAUAUUACAAGGCAAAAAGUGGAGGAAAGUACAUCCCAGUACAAGACGUAUUUCAGGUGGGGUUAUCACACAAUUUCAGGUGGGGUUAUCACACACCUGCUCAGGUGAACAUUACAAACAUAAUAUGUAGACAACAGUCAGUAACCCGGGAUGACAGUAGCUGUUAAACAUCUGUUACAGUCCAUCAAAAUGUUUUGAGUAGACACAGACAAACACGCUCAUUUCCUGUUCCAGCCCAAAAAACACCUAAAGAUCAUAAAACACAGGAUUUCAUAACUUUUAGUUCAUUUGAAACAGUUAAUGUAGUUAAAUUUCUAAGUCAAAAAGUACGAUGGCCGAGAACUGCCACUGCUGCAAAUAAAAAAAAAUGAUGCAAAAAAAAAAAAAAAAAG